GGAAGGAUCAUUAACAAACGCGCUGCCUUGUGCAGCACAUUUGCCCGGCCGCAAGGCUGAGGAUUGUGUGGAGGAGUUUCGUACGACUCCACAACAUAGACGCAUGUUUGUAUGACAGUGUGAUGGAUUCUAAAAAAACAACUUUUAACAAUGGAUCUCUUGGCUCUUGCAACGAUGAAGAACGCAGUGAAAUGCGAAAUGUAAUGCGAUUUGCAUGAAUCUGUGAGUCAUCAAGUCUUUGAACGCACCUUGCACUCUUGGCGUAAGUCAAGAGUAUACCUGUUUGAGAAUCGUAUCCUUAUCAACUCUCGUUUUGAGUUGGAUUUGGCCCUCCACUCGCUUGCCGAGGGAGAGGGCUUAAAGGCAGCAGACAAUGGACGAGCACCUGGAGGUGGAGGCAUUGUGUGAUGGAGACCAGUCGGUCUACUCACAACAGCCGCCCUUCCUGCUUUGUGGAAUGUGAAUCCCACUUGAGUCCGGUCUCUAAAACCCCUUUUUUAUGAUCUCAAAUCAGGUAAGGCUACCCGCUGAACUUAAGCAUAUCAGUAAGCGGAGGAAAAGAAACUAACAAGGAUUCCCCUAGUAACGGCGAGUGAAGCGGGAACAGCUCAAAUUUAAAAUCUGGCAGCAAUGCCCGAGUUGUAAUUUAAAGAGGCGUUUUCUGGAGCGACUACAUGUUCAAGUCCCUUGGAAGAGGGCAUCACAGAGGGUGAGAAUCCCGUCUGGACAUGUGGGUUGCUCCUCCACGAGGCGCUCUCUACGAGUCGAGUUGUUUGGGAAUGCAGCUCUAAAUGGGUGGUAAAUUUCAUCUAAGGCUAAAUACUGGCAAGAGACCGAUAGCGAACAAGUACCGUGAGGGAAAGAUGAAAAGCACCUUGAAAAGGGAGUUAAAUAGCGCGUGAAAUUGUUAAAAGGGAAACGAUUGAGAUCAGUACUGUCGGGCAACCGACGGUCAGCAUCAGUUGGUCUGGCCAGAUGCAGGUUGCGGGAAGGUGGGGUCGCGCUUCGGCAUGGCUCUUUAUAGACCGCAGCUACGAUGGUCGGACCGACUGAGGAGUCGCAGCUGAGUUCUCCGGCGGCCAAAACUACGCUCCAACAGUCCAAGUCAGCAUGCUGAUUGGGCUGGCAAGGCGUGGAGAAGGUCGCCGCGCUCGGUUUGAGGAUGCUGACGAAAUGGUCUUAAACGACCCGUCUUGAAACACGGACCAAGGAGUCUAACAUAUGUGCGAGUAUUUGGGUGGCAAACCCGGAUGCGAAAUGAAAGUAAAUGGAUGGGAAUCCCUUGUGGAGGCACCAUCGACCGACCUUGAUAUCUCUUGAUAGGUUUGAGUAAGAGCAUAUCUGUUGGGACCCGAAAGGCGGUGAACUAUGCCUGGAUAGGAUGAAGCCAGAGGAAACUCUGGUGGAGGUCCGUAGCCGUUCUGACGUGCAAAUCGAUGGUCAAAUCUGGGUAUAGGGGCGAAAGACUAAUCGAACCGCCUAGUAGCUGGUUCCCUC
rnacentral:misc_RNA from 1 species